GUCUAUGGGGGCGCAGGCGCGAAACCUUUGCAAGGGGCGAAACCACGACAAGGGAAAACCAGGUGUACCCACAUCUACGAACCUCUAGCUGGUUAAACCCCUGUGACUACUUAUU
rnacentral:rRNA from 1 species